rnacentral:rRNA from 1 species
UACGGAAGGCAGCAGUGGGGAAUAUUGCACAAUGGGCGCAAGCCUGAUGCAGCCAUGCCGCGUGUAUGAAGAAGGCCUUCGGGUUGUAAAGUACUUUCAGUCGUGAGGAAGGUGUUAAGGUUAAUAACCUUAGCAAUUGACGUUAGCGACAGAAGAAGCACCGGCUAACUCCGUGCCAGCAGCCGCGGUAAUACGGAGGGUGCGAGCGUUAAUCGGAAUUACUGGGCGUAAAGGGCACGCAGGCGGUUAAUUAAGUUGGAUGUGAAAUCCCCGGGCUUAAACCUGGGAAUGGCAUUCAAGACUGGUUAGCUAGAGUCUUGUAGAGGGGGUAGAAUUCCAUGUGUAGCGGUGAAAUGCGUAGAGAUGUGGAGGAAAUACCGGUGGCGAAAGGCGGCCCCUGGACAAAAGACUGACGCUCAUGUGCGAAAAGCGUGGGGAGCAAAACAGGGAUUAAGA